rnacentral:tRNA from 1 species
AGGCGUGUAGCCAAGCGGCUAAGGCACCGGUUUUUGACACCGGCAUUCGUUGGUUCGAAUCCAACCUCGCCUGCCA